GACAGAGGGGGCAAGCGUUGCUCGGAAUUACUGGGCGUAAAGGGCGCGUAGGCGGGAUGGCAAGUCGGUCGUGAAAUCCCUCGGCUCAACCGAGGAACGUCGAUCGAUACUGCUGUUCUUGAGGAUUGCAGAGGAGACUGGAAUUCCCGGUGUAGCGGUGAAAUGUGUAGAGAUCGGGAGGAACGACCGGUGGCGAAGGCGGGUCUCUGGGCAAUU
rnacentral:rRNA from 1 species